rnacentral:miRNA from 1 species
UUGGUCGGUCUGCGCCCUGGC